UGGGGAAUCUUGGACAAUGGGCGCAAGCCUGAUCCAGCCAUGCCGCGUGGAUGAUGAAGGCCUUAGGGUUGUAAAAUCCUUUCGUUGGGGACGAUAAUGACGGUACCCAAAGAAGAAGCUCCGGCUAACUUCGUGCCAGCAGCCGCGGUAAUACGUAGGUGGCAAGCGUUGUCCGGAUUUAUUGGGUUUAAAGGGUGCGUAGGUGGCCCUGUAAGUCAGUGGUGAAAUAUCUCAGCUUAACUGAGAGGGUGCCAUUGAUACUGCAGGGCUUGAGUACAGAUGAGGUAGGCGGAAUUGACGGUGUAGCGGUGAAAUGCAUAGAUAUCGUCAAGAACACCGAUAGCGAAGGCAGCUUACCAAGCUGUAACUGACACUGAGGCACGAAAGUGUGGGGAUCAAACAGGAUUAGAUACCCUUGUAGUCCCUGAGCGGGCUGGCAAGGCGCAU
rnacentral:rRNA from 1 species